rfam:Gossypium hirsutum cultivar TM-1 chromosome 21, whole genome shotgun sequence
CACAUCAGCGCGCUUUGCUGACGUGGCAACAAAUCGCGUUCACGAGGGAGCGAUUUGUUGCCACGUCAGCAAAGCGCGCUGACGUGG